CUGCACCUGGCCAUCUCAGCAUGAAACACUUAAUAGGGACUUUUGAACAAAAGCCAUGUCUGGGUCUUGGGCAGGGGCGAGACGAGAUGGUAGAUCCCGGUGCCAUCAUCCCGUAACCUCCGGGCUUAUCCAUCAUAGGGAAGGAAUGUGUAGGACAACUGUAGGGACAGGCAAGAAACCAUGUCAAUCUGCCUGAGGGCUUCCCUGAUAGUGAGGGAAAUGAGUGAGGGACCUGCCUGAGUCACUCAGCCAGGAAGUGGCCACGCCUACCGCUGAACUUGCAUCACAUCUGAUCUGAUCUCAUAGCCAGUGCUCUAUUCUUUGUCAUCUCAGCCUUCCUUGGAGUGGUCCCAGUCAGAAAUUCAAGGAGAGGCAUAACAUACAACUAUGUGAUUAGCUCUCGGCUUGGAAGAAACACAUAUAAAGAACAAUACGCCUUUCUCUACAAGGAAAAGCUGGUAUCUGUGAAGAGGAGCUAUCACUACCAUGACUAUCAGGAUGGAGACGUAGAUGUGUUUUCCAGGGAGCCCUUUGUGGUCUGGUUCCAGUCGCCCCACACUGGUAAGACCCACAGGCCUCUCUCUCUGGGACCUCCCCAAUGGCCCAUGAAUGGGCAGCAGCCUUGAGCAUGAGCUCAGGUUUAUGCAGCCCGUUAGGGAGGCAUUACGCUGGAUGUGACAGUGCAUUGCUUCUAAUACCUCAGUGUAGACGAUGCAGUUCGGUGUGAUGGCACCAGGCUUGCUUCUCAGAAUGCUGAGACUCAAGACUUCCCCAGCCUGGAACCCACUUUCUGGAAGCAAUGGUAGCUCCCCUCUCUCUGAAGAGUUUAGGCACAUGGAAAUUGUUUUCUGCAAUUCCUUGGUUUCUGUCAAAUACAACCCUUC